GACGAACGCUGGCGGCGUGCCUAAUACAUGCAAGUUGAGCGCUGAAGGUUGGUACUUGUACCAACUGGAUGAGCAGCGAACGGGUGAGUAACGCGUGGGGAAUCUGCCUUUGAGCGGGGGACAACAUUUGGAAACGAAUGCUAAUACCGCAUAAAAACUUUAAACACAAGUUUUAAGUUUGAAAGAUGCAAUUGCAUCACUCAAAGAUGAUCCCGCGUUGUAUUAGCUAGUUGGUGAGGUAAAGGCUCACCAAGGCGAUGAUACAUAGCCGACCUGAGAGGGUGAUCGGCCACAUUGGGACUGAGACACGGCCCAAACUCCUACGGGAGGCAGCAGUAGGGAAUCUUCGGCAAUGGACGAAAGUCUGACCGAGCAACGCCGCGUGAGUGAAGAAGGUUUUCGGAUCGUAAAACUCUGUUGGUAGAGAAGAACGUUGGUGAGAGUGGAAAGCUCAUCAAGUGACGGUAACUACCCAGAAAGGGACGGCUAACUCCGUG
rnacentral:rRNA from 1 species